rnacentral:rRNA from 1 species
AUUGAACGCUGGCGGCAUGCCUAACACAUGCAAGUCGAACGGCAGCACAGUAUGUAGCAAUACAUAUGGGUGGCGAGUGGCGGACGGGUGAGUAACGCGUGGGAAUCUGCCCUAUAGUGGGGGACAACCCGACGAAAGUCGGGCUAAUACCGCAUACGCCUACGGGGAAGGCUUCGCCGCUAUUGGAUGAGCCCGCGUCGGAUUAGCUAGUUGGUGAGGUAAUGGCUCACCAAGGCGACGAUCCGUAGCUGGUCUGAGAGGACGAUCAGCCACACUGGGACUGAGACACGGCCCAGACUCCUACGGGAGGCAGCAGUGGGGAAUAUUGCACAAUGGGCGAAGCCUGAUGCAGCAAUGCCGCGUGUGUGAAGAAGGCCUGCGGGUUGUAAAGCACUUUCGGUAGGGACGAUAAUGACGGUACCUACAGAAGAAGCACCGGCUAACUCCGUGCCAGCAGCCGCGGUAAU